CAGCCUCAGUCAGAGUGUAGGACAGGGCAGACAGGAACACCACAACUGAUCUCUUUCUUCUCGUGCAGCCGGCAGCAGCAUUUCCCGGCUGUGAGCGGGGCCUUCAUGGAUUCUCCGUACAAUGGCAACACGUCCCUGCAGACGUCCACCUCCAACCUCAACGCCGGCUACUCUCGACCCUCAGAGACAGAGGAUGAUGGGAAAGUGUCCAGUGACACCAUUUGGUUGUGGAUCGCUGUGCUUGCAACCAUUGGCAACAUAGUGGUGGUGGCUGUGGUUUGCGCCUGUGCCUUCUGACAAGAUGGAAGAGAGGAGCAAACAAUACUGCUGCCGUCUGAUUAUGGGAAAUCUUGUAUAUCCUGGAAAUAUGUUUUUCUUCAGAUAUGUAAAAUAGCCUCAAUUUUAGAUUAGAUUCUUUUUAAGUCUUAAUUAAAAGGGAAUUUGCAUUAGACUAUUAUUUAUUUUUUCAACAGACUGAAAUUUUGAUCUGAUGGAGAAAUAUCUUUCUUUUCAUAUAACUUUUUCUCCUGUUCAGUACUACAAUUAAACAAUAUUAAAUGAAAAGCCACAACAAUUAAGGUUGAACAGGUUCUACAAUGGCUACUGAAGCAGAUCUUACUUUAAAUACUAAGUAACAACCACACACACAGAGACAGACAUGUAUAUACUGUGUGGCACAUUCUAUCUGACUAACCAGAACAAAAGGUACCCAGCACACAUUUGGAUAAACCAAAUCAAGUCGACAGAUUUACAGAAAGUUUAAAGACAAUCCUGCCAUAUUAUUUUGAGUUACUGGAGAUGCCUUGCUUAAGGAGAGCUUUGUUAAUUCACUCAACCCAUUGAGAUUUUCUCUGCUUGUCAGCUACCAGCAACCUUCAAUAGCUAUAGUCUGAAAUUAUAAGGAGUCACCAUAGCUUAUCAAUAGCUUUACAGUAACAUUACAUUAACAGGUUUCCUAAUUCAUCCAUUUUUUUUUGCGCAAACCAGAUAUUUCAUCUGGAUAAACAGUCAAAACCCAAAAAAAACAUAAUGACAAUAUGUGUGUUUUAAUCACCGGCAAAGUAAACGGUUCCAAUCAGAUAAACUUGUCUUCAGGUUUGCCCUUCACAUGGGUUGAGACUCUAAUUUGGUCACAGGGAUGUUUAUUUUAGCCUCCAUGUGAACACAAUAUUAACAUUUGUUUAAUGAGCAUCAGUCCCAGAGCAAAAUACUAAAUUUAUUCAUUUUGGAUUCCAGGCUUAACGUAAUAGCACUAUACUUGGCUGGUCAGUUGCUUUUGCAAGCCGAGCUGGUGUUAUAUAAACCCAUUGAGUCCUGGUCACACCACCGGCUCAGCAGAGGUCAGGAGGAUUAGACAAGAAGAUCAUAGCUUGAUCUCUCAGUGGGAUCUGAAGCCAGAAGAAGAUUGCCUGUUGAAGCUUGUAAUUAUGUGUGUGAUUGUGUGAUUUAGUAGUUAGAGAGGCCAGAGGGUUGCGCCCUGUAACGUCUUUACGAUGCUCGACCAAAGCACUCAACGCCAACCUGUAUUGUCUAUGCUAUUCUUACUUAGUCACUGUUGCUCAGCAGUCAAUGACAAGAAUGAUAGAUUUACUACUUUAAAUGCUUAGUGAUUUGUUUAAAAAUUGGACCUCCGCUGUGGCUAGCCAACACGUGUAGCUCGUUUUAGAAAAGCGACUCCUGUAAAAGGGUUUUAAAUAUCUACUUGAUCGCUACGAUGUUGUGCUAAAAGUCUGAGGCUAAAGCUGUCGCCUACGUCACAAGACCCGAGUUGCUCCAAAAGUCAGAAUCCUGAUGGAGAUCAUGGAAAUAGAGAAAGUGAACGGUAAAUUACGCUGAUCUCAUGCCGUGACUAAAGCUUAUUUUUUCAUUUCCAUGUAGUUGAUAGUUCCUUCUAGUGUCCGCAAACAUCCACACUGAUAGCCAUUUUAAAAACUCCAGUUCAUCUGACACGCAUGUCUUGCAUUUGAAGAAACUGUAGCGCCCUUAAAAAGCCCAGAGGAAACAAACUCCAUUUAGAAAGGAGCCGGACUCAGUGGUGACUGAGCAGUGAUUUGUUGACAUUUAACAAGCAAGGCCACACAAGGGAAUCUCUUUCUGUCCGGGUUACUCUACCCCAUUAUAAGGAUAAAUGCAUCAUUAAAGGAGCAGAGCCAUUCACUUUCAUCUCUUCAAAUCACUCUGAUUGUUAGUGAGGGAAUGAAAUCUCUUUAAGCUGGUAGGGAAAAGCCAAGGGUGGGUGAUGAAAAGGCAGAGAGAGGACAUGGAGCUACAGAAUGAGUAACAGGAGGUCAGAGGAGGUCAACAAGUAACGGGAACAAACUUAAAACUGGACAGUAGGAGAAGAAUCAAAUACCACCUUUGUCCAUCAACGCAUUGUAAACUCUUGUCUGUCUGCAGUUUGGCGCAAGGCGGGUACAGUGGAUUUUUGGCUUUCUGCCGUUAAUGAUGCUGAUGAGACUGAACCAAAACAGUGAAGUUGUGGUCCAAAAAACCAGAACAACAGGCUGAAAGACGCUUCAAAGUGGAACUGCAGAGUGAUAAUUCUAUUUGGGUUCAUCAUUAUGAGCGACCCCUUGCACAUACAAGUAGUAUGCUGAUUCAUAGAGAAAACAUUCAUAGUAGAUGCUUUAAUUUAACAAUAUUUCCCGACCCUAGGACUUUUGGGCCUUAACUGAACCAAGCUCUAACAACGGCGGUGUGAAAUAGCUGUUUUAGAGGCACUGACAAAUCAUUUAGUGUUGUUGCAUUCACUGUGUUGUCUCAAAUUUCAUUUAUUAUGUAGUUUUAACGCAGUCUAGUCAGAACCAAUCAUGCAGUCAGUGUCUUCUACUACAUGUGUGUUUAUACAUAUACUGUACAUGUGUUUGCACUAUCUCAGCCUGUGAAAGUCGCGUCAUCGUCCUGUCAGUCCUCGGUAGAGUAAUGAGCUUACUAUCUGUUUUUUUUUCUUCCUUUUACCCAUCCCUCGCUUGUUAUUCCAGAGGGAAGUGUGUUCUCGGCGGCCAUUAGAGCGGUCAGAGCAAAUCGUAUCUCUGUGGUUGACUUUAUUAGAUAAUUUUACAGACAGAAUAGAGCCAACUUCAGCCGUCGGAGACGUAAAUAUAUUCUAAAGGAGCGGUCGUAGAUAGAAUUUGUAACAUUAGUCAUCUGAGAUAUAGACUGGCAAUGACUACACGUGAGGUAAAAAGGGAAGAUGUGGGAGAUGGAGGAAAGUGCUCAUUGUCAUUUCCGCCAUUCGUGCAUUCCCUUAUGAAAGCUGUCAGGGAAAGGGUCAUUGUAUAAGAGUGGGAUUGAGGAAACGAGGGGAAAGGAGAGACAAUAGUUGGAGACAGGACAGAGGUAGUGUUAGGACCAAACAACUACCAAUCUCAAACCAGAAGUUUAAAUGCUAAAGCCUUUUUCAUUUUUAAUUUAAUUUAGCCAUAUUUCAAUACUAUAACAAACAACAGAGAACACAACCAUACAGUACUUUUCCACAAUAUUCAGACAGCAGACAGAGUAUGUUUGUGUUCCUCGUGUGGUCGGUUGAAGAUCACCCCAUACAGUUUACGCUAACCAAAUCCCUCGCCGUCCAAUCAGCUGCCAGAUUCGGAGGAGGCAUGGACCUACAGUAUCAGCCAAUUCGAUACCAUCAAUGUGUUUCUGCCAAGUGACCUCAAGCGACUCAGCGGACUCCACAAAGAAGAAAGCAUGCAAACAUGAGCAUCACGUUACUAUGAAAUGGUGAUCUACAACACCCUCCAACCAGACCGCUUCUUUCAUCUUGUUACUGCUGACACAACCUGCCUGCUUCACAUAGAAAUAUAGGAUCUCCAGAAGCCUACCAACCCAGAAACCCCAGCUGCUCAACCAUCCAAGCAUCCGGAGAGAUCCCCAUCAUCGACCUUCAGAGAAGACAGACUGAAAACAGCUUGCAGGUGACAACCAGACUGGUCUGUCUGCCACAAAACAAACUGAGAGACGACAUUGUGGCUCUGACUUAGUGCUGAUCCGCCUGUCUGGAUUCUAAGAAAGAAGUGCACCUGGAGAUAUACAGCGGUGUCAGGAUGACUAUGUUCUACAUCAUCACGGAGAAUGGAUUUGCAUGAAGGGGGACUCUAUCCCGAGGACGAUGUGUAAAAACUGCGGUGUGGUGACUUACUGAUCUUUGCCAGACGAGAAGCCAAAUUAACACUGAAACGUAACAACAGCCCAACAUGGCAAAUGUCUCAUAAAGGUUGUACUUGGCUACAGGUCCAUAGCGCACUCUCGCUCAACAGCCCUGAUGACAAGGAGCAGUUGGAAGACUCCUUUCCUCCCCAAACAUCUGAUACCAGAGUGGUACAGAGUUACAUAUUUGCUUAGAUAGUUUGAUCUCGAUAAUCAUGGUAUUUGGGGAUUGUAGCUGAAGAUUUCUCACCGUUCAAAUGAAGUCCACUUUCACUUUUUGGAGAAGACACUAAAAGAAGGUGGACUGAAUGGAUAUAAGUGAUGAUUUCUUGUGUGGACGACAUGGGACUUGAGGAAAAAUACUGUCGUACAGAUAAGACAUUCUAACUGUGAUUCAACCUUCAAUGCAAAACUUCUCUUAAAAGUAAUAAGAUAACAAAAUAGUGUAGCCAUGAAACUCGCUGAGGACUGGAUGAUGUAUUUAUGACAUGGAUUGCUUUGGAGGCUUCAUUGUGACAAGUAAAGCCAAAAUGUUCAAAGUGAGAAAGACGUUCUACAGAUGUUUUCACAAAAAAGUGUUAUAAAGUACAUACGUAUUGUGCAUACACUCACUAACACAGACAGGUAAGUGCAGACAAUAUGAGGAAAUGAUCACUCUGCAAAUAUGAGUCGGAAACGGUAUGACUGUAAACAUCUGCAGGACCGUAUAGACGGAGAAAAACAAGAAUAGCUCAAUGUUAAAUGUGAAGAUGCUACCAUUGUAGCAUUAUGCGUACCUCACUGAACAUGCAUGGCUACCAGCAGAUUUCUCUCUUCCCCAUUACUGUCCUCCUUGAUGGAGUAAAGUGUUUGCCUCUUCACGAGUACCCGUCAGUCAUUUGCACUUCUGUAAAACAAAUAACAUCUGUGGUUUAUUAGUUAAUAUAUGAUUGUGUGUUGGGGUUUGGCUUGACAUUUUAAUCUAGAUUUCCAUAAAGUUUUUAUUUUUUGUAUAUAUGUUUUAAGUUAUAUCUGAGGAAUUCCUCUGUUGUACAUUUUCAAUCACGCCAUGACAGUUCCUCAUCUUCAAAGGAAGCUUUGACCUUUUUACUUUUGACUUCUGUAAUAUAACUUCAAUAAAUUGAUAAGAAUGUGAGAUGUUUGUCCGUCCCAUCGGGUUUGUUUAUAAAUGCUUGUUACAUCCAGCUUUUACUUGAUUACAACAAAGGCCAGUACAAUUGUUGAAGACAGAAUGGGGAUUAAUUAGCGCUCAUACAUUUCACUUUAUUAGGGACACAUUCCUAUAAUUGGUCUUCUAAUGUGUAUGUAUGAAAUGAUGUGUUCAGAGUGGUUGGUCUUGAUUUCUACCAGUGAAUGUGAAAUGACAGGACUUCCUCCUGACGCUGACUAAAUGUUAAUUAAUGGUGAUAUGGCUUCAUCUUUAAGUAUCUUUUUCCGACUUAAUAUGAUCACAGGUUAUCCUGUUUAAUCGAAUGACUGCACCUCCAUUAAAGGAAGGUUAGAAGAAGUGUCAUUCUCCUGCAAUAGUAUUGCAUCAUCUUAAUCAGAAAUGAAAAAAAUACAUUCAUAGCUCAAAACUUUUGUGAUGAAACUUUUGUAUUCUGUAUUUUGUUAAAGCAGAGUAACAGAGCAGUAAAAAAUGAAAACUAAAGUGAGUUGAGUGUUUGCCUUGACCAGCCUGGUAAAGAGAACUCCAAGAAACGUUUCUUUAGACAAAAGAUAUCUAGACCUUGAAGAGAGGAUCACAUGUCUUCACGAAGACCAAAUAUGUCAAGUUAUCACUGGAAAACAGUGAAGAUGUCUCUUGCCAAUAGAGUAAACCAAUGUGAUGGCCUUCAUUUAAAGUGCAAAUCUUGAACAAAAGCCAAGGCUUCAUCUGCUGGAAGGCAAAUAACAAACUGUUUUGGCUGCAUAGUGACAAAAACAGUGAUCAGUGGCCUCUUUGGCAGUACAUUUAAUCCAGCACGAGGGCCCUGCCAGGAAAGUAGGAAGGGAUUAAUGAAUGAUAAACAAAGACAAUGACCGAUGAGCCAGACUGUUGUGGUUGAAUUAUUUGGUAUGAAUAACUCCUCACUUCUGAGAGCAGGACUGCCUGACUUAACAGACUUCUCUGUGAGAUGAACAAGAUGUUACCAAGAAGCCAUACACAAGAUUUAUUCGAUUAGAAUUUACAGUUUCCACAGUUUUCUGCAUUGGAUGACACCACUGAACACAUUUCCAGCUGAAAUGAUAUACUUUGAGGCCAAAAAGUAAGCAGUUAGAGAAGUACAUUUUAUAAUGAAAGAAGACCAUGUGCAAUUGUAAAAAAAAAAUCAUUGACCAAUAAUGUGCGCAGGAUGUUACAAUUAUCUGUAAACACAUGUUGGAUGACUUGCUUAGAGUUAACUUUGCAUUGAAGAUGUUAAUGAAAUGCCCUUUUAAAUAGUAUAAUAA